GUUUCGGUAGCUAAGUGGUAUAGCGUGGGAUUGCAGUUUCAAGAACUAUUAUCCUAAGGUCACGCGUUCGAUCCGCGUUCGGAACU